AUGCAGGGUCUAGCAGGCUAUUAACAUGGCAGAUUAUAAAUUCUAAAUUAAACAUAAUUUGCAAUAAAGGAAGUGUAAACAUUAGAUCUUUCUUUACAGGAAGUGUUUAUUAAGGCAGUGUAAGUCACAUGCAAGUAGGUGGCCUUAGGGCUGCAUAAACAAACUGAUGUAACUCCUAAAUGGCAGAGAAUUGAGCAGCGAGACUGCAGAGACAUGAUCUAUACACCAAAACUGCUUCAUUAAGCUAUAGUUGAUUUGGUAACUAUAGUAUCCCUUUAACUUGAACCAUUUGCUUGUUUUAGGUUGUAAUGUAAAAUGUGUCCCAAUAAACAGCUUCACAGAGCCCUGUCAUUUUCAAUAAAAUUUAAUAGCAAAACAAUAUUUUGCAAUGAGAAAAUAAAUACAUGUAAUCCUCCAAUGUGUUCAUUGAAGAUACAGUAAUGUGGAAACACAAAAAUUGAAGGCUGAUAGAGAGAGCAGAGUGUAAAAUGCAGAAAGGUACUCUAGAGGUCUGAAGAAAAAGACUGGACAGAAAGAUAACCUGCUGAUCACCUUAUGAUAUAGCCAGGUGUUCUCAAAAGAAAAUAAUUCAACUGCAUCUCGAAGCAUAAUGGAAACUAAAAACUGCUGACAUACUUUAUUAACGACUAGAUGGGAGAACAGAGGUUCGGAGAUAAAAUCUAAAUUGUACACAGUUCUGCAGCAGCAAGCAAUACUAAUUCAAAAAUGUCCAGAAAAUCGCUUAGUCAUAAAAGAACAACACUAUAGUUUAUGAAACUUGGAGGAAAAAAAAAAAAAACGAAUUGAAAGGACAUUGCAGGCGACACAUCCCCCAUUUCAUCGAAUGUUACUGGCUAUACAUUAAAAAAAACAAAACAAAAAAAUGGGGAAAAAUAAAAUAUACUAGUAAAAAAAAAAAACAAUACCUCCAAUAUGUGGUCUUUUAAACAAAGAUUUGGAGGCAGCACUGAGAAGGCAUAUUGUUUGCUAAUAUUAUGAAUGGCUGCACAAGUGACAUGUCUGACAUCACGUCCAUGUUCCCAUAGCUUUUAUGAUGUCAUUUGCUUGCAUACCAUUCUUUUCAGUCAAAAAGGGUAUUAAAGGACAACUGUCACAGCUUUAUUUAUUUUUUUUUAAAAAGAAUGCUUGCUGCAUGUAAUGAAGAGAUUUUUUUUAAAACAUGAAGCUUAUGUAAAAAUACCUGAAAAUCUGGCCUCUACUAUUACAGAACACUAGAUCCCUCUGCCAUCCCUCUGAGGUACAAUCCGACCUUUAGGUUCCUCCUCCUGCACAAAGCCAUCGCGCUGUGUGGUUGGCCUGGUUCAAAUUCUGACCGAAUUCCAAAUGCACUGGCAAUUCUCAUCUUUAUUAAAGCCAAAUAGUUAGAAUUCGGUCGAUAUGACUGAUUCUGUAACAUUGGUUCGGAUGAGAAAAAUCACAUUUUUUCCGAACUCAUCCAAACCAGUCUACAGCACCGGAAUCGCAAAUGACCAUUCACAUGCAAUUUUCAAGUGAAGCAGGAGCCUAACAGUCGGAUUCUAUCCCAGUCCGACCGAAGGUGAUU